rnacentral:misc_RNA from 1 species
CCCCUCGUCCAUCAGGUUUCCGAACCGGACGAUGCUGUUGACGAUGAGCACCUCGUCGGGGUCGAUGCUGAGGUCGUCGGCACCGACCGCGUCCCACCUCGCCGUGAUGCCGCGGAACUUGAACGGCACGCCGAUCUGGCGAGCGUAGUCGCUGAGCCGCCGCCCGGUCUCGUCGAUCCGCGCGGCUGGGCGGAAGCCGGGCUGGGGGAGAUCGAUGCCGGUGAUCCUCACCUCUGGCGGCCCGCCCUCCAUGUCCAUGGUCGCCACACGGCCGAGCAAGCUUGGCCACUGAACCCCGUAGUCUAUGCCGUAGUCCACGAUGUGAACCUUUCUCCUCCCGGCGAUGGCCUUCAAGAUGGUCUUGUUGGAGAAACUGAACGCCGUCAUCUUGAAGCAGCACGCUGCCAGGUACAGCCAGUAG